CGCGUGGGUAACCUGCCCUUUUGUGGGGAACAACUUCGAGAAAUCGGAGCUAAUACCGCAUAAUAAUAGAGGAUCGCAUGAUUCUUUAAGGAAAGAUGGCCUCUGAAGAUGCUAUCGCAAAAGGAUGGACCCGCGUCUGAUUAGCUAGUUGGAAGGGUAACGGCCUACCAAGGCAACGAUCAGUAGCCGGCCUGAGAGGGUGAACGGCCACAUUGGGACUGAGACACGGCCCAAACUCCUACGGGAGGCAGCAG
rnacentral:rRNA from 1 species